CUAAGGGCCGGGGUAGAUGUGAUGCGGUGACACUUCCCUCAGAUCCCUGGCUCUCCACAGGGCCCGACGGACCAGGUGCCAGGCCGCCCCUCGGAUCAAAUGAGGGGGAGAAGGGUACACGCCUGCCGAAGGUUUGUGAUAAUGAAAUCGAGAAGCUUUUGGUUCUUUCCUGUGCUGUGUGGGGUCUUUCUGUGGCCCACCCUGGGGCAGAUGGAUUCAGACAGGAGCAGACGCCCUCUUUUAGAAGCAAGAAGGCGGCAACAAGAGGAAUCAAGGAGCUUUGAAGUCACCAGAAGAAAAGGUAGGAAAAUAUUGGUGUUUUUUGCCUCUGUCUGUCACUGUUGCAAAAGCUUGUGGCGACAAAAUGAACUUAAGACUUUCCAAGCUGCC
rnacentral:lncRNA from 1 species